GACGAACGCUGGCGGCGUGCUUAACACAUGCAAGUCGAACGGAAAGGCCCUGCUUUUGUGGGGUGCUCGAGUGGCGAACGGGUGAGUAACACGUGAGUAACCUGCCCUUGACUUUGGGAUAACUUCAGGAAACUGGGGCUAAUACCGGAUAGGAGCUCCUGCUGCAUGGUGGGGGUUGGAAAGUUUCGGCGGUUGGGGAUGGACUCGCGGCUUAUCAGCUUGUUGGUGGGGUAGUGGUUUACCAAGGCUUUGACGGGUAGCCGGCCUGAGAGGGUGACCGGCCACAUUGGGACUGAGAUACGGCCCAGACUCCUACGGGAGGCAGAAGUGGGGAAUAUUGCACAAUGGGCGGAAGCCUGAUGCAGCAACGCCGCGUGCGGGAUGACGGCCUUCGGGUUGUAAACCGCUUUCGCCUGUGACGAAGCGUGAGUGACGGUAAUGGGUAAAGAAGCACCGGCUAACUACGUG
rnacentral:rRNA from 1 species